rnacentral:rRNA from 1 species
GAUGAACGCUGGCGGCGUGCUUAACACAUGCAAGUCGAACGGAAAGGCCCAAGCUUGCUUGGGUACUCGAGUGGCGAACGGGUGAGUAACACGUGGGUGAGCUGCCCUGCACUUCGGGAUAACCCUAGGAAACUGGGUCUACUACCGGAUAGGACCACAUUUUGGAUGGUGUGGUGGAAAGUUUUUGGGUGUGGGGUGAGCUCGUGGCCUAUCAGCUUGUUGGUGGGGUAAUGGCCUACCAAUGCGCCGACGGGUAGCCGGCCUGAGGGGGUGCACGGCCACAGUGGGUCCGAGGGACGGCCCAGACUGCGACGGGAGGCAGAAGUGGGGAAGAUUGCUCAAGGGGCGCCGGCCGGAGGCAGCGGCGCCGCGUGGGGGAUGCCGGCCUUCGGGUGGGAGAAUCGGUUCGGUAGGGACGAAGCGGUAUGUGACGGUACCUGGAGAAGAAGCACCGGCUAACUACGUG